rnacentral:rRNA from 1 species
CAGUAGCCGCGGUAAUACGGAGGAUGCAAGCGUUACUCGGAAUCACUGGGCGUAAAGGACGCGUAGGCGGAUUAUCAAGUCUCUUGUGAAAUCUAACGGCUUAACCGUUAAACUGCUUGGGAAACUGAUAAUCUAGAGUAAGGGAGAGGCAGAUGGAAUUCUUGGUGUAGGGGUAAAAUCCGUAGAGAUCAAGAAGAAUACCCAUUGCGAAAGCGAUCUGCUGGAACUCAACUGACGCUAAUGCGUGAAAGCGUGGGGAGCAAACAGGAUUAGAUACCCCCGUAGUCCCUGUCUCUUAUAC